rfam:Ictidomys tridecemlineatus contig011855, whole genome shotgun sequence.
GGGGCUGUCGCUCAGUGGCAGAGCGUUUGCCUACCAUGCAUGAGGCACUGGGUUUGAUCCUCAGCACCA